GGAUGUGAAGAUCUCACUGUGACCCCUGUAACUCCACUGAUCACCAGAGCUGAUUUGGCUGCUCUGAUCUUGCUAGGCAUGGGCCCCUUCCUCCCUCACUUCUCCAUAUUCAUCCAUCUUGAAGCUACACUCUUGGUCAAAGAGGAUGACCUUCUUCCAUCCUGGAGGAUCAGUCAAGGAUAAAUGAGUAAGUGUGCUUCCUUGCUAGAACCUCCAAACUCUCAAACACUCGAAGGUGUUAUUGAGUCAAUAUUUGCCAACUUCUGUACCUUAAUAAAUCACAUAACAAAGUUUUCUUAUAUUA
rnacentral:snRNA from 1 species